GAGAACUCAUCACGGCGUGGAGCCACCACUGAGUUAAACCUCACAUGCACUAUGCUAGGGUACGACGUCUGAGCUUCUAUUUCGUAUUCGUUCUUUAAUAUUCUUUGAAAUGGUCCAUAUGCUAUUGAUAUGUUCCGAAAUGUUUCAUUUGUCAUUGAUAUGCUCCGAAACAUUUCAUAGGCCAUUGAUAUGCUCCGAAAUAUUCCAUCUGUUAUUGUUAUGCUUCGAAAUGUUCCAUAUCAUUGAUAUGCUCCGGAACAUUUCAUACGCCAUUGAUAUGCUCCGAAAUGCUUCAUCUGCUAUUGUCUCAAAUUAUUGUUCACAAUACCCUUUUGUACUCUGGUGUUUGUGGGAUUAUUUGGACCUUUGCCAGAAAUGGUAAAGGGUAUGUGCUUAGAGCCUACGAUGCUCUAGAUUAUGUUUGGUGGUCAUUCAGAAAUGGAUGGACCAUAUUAUGUUUGGAAUCCCAUUUCAUCUUCUAUUUGUUUCAUCUGUUAUUGUUACGCUUCGAAAUGUUUUAUAUAUCAUUGAUAUGCUCCAAAACAUUUCAUACACUAUUGAUAUGCUUCAAUUACUCUGUGCUCCAUUUGCUAUGAACUGAUAUAUUUUGAAAUGUCCUAUUUGCCAUUAAUAUGCUCUGGAUCAUCUCGUACGCUAUUGAUAUGCUCCAAUUACUCUAUGCUCCAUUUGUUAUGAACCAAAUAUGUUAUGAAUGAAAUGACAUUUGCGAUUCUGUAUCUAAUGAGAUGAUAUCCUUGAAUCUCUUGGAUUCUGUCUUGCAUUGUGAUAUCUUGUUUGUUUAAAACUGUCCCUUCUCGUGCUAUAUAUGCUUUGUUACUUGCUGAGCUAUUUUUAGCUCACUCUGUUAUUAUAUAAAUCUUUCAGGUCAGCUUGUCACUCUUUGAGAUGUUUGAAUUGGGCUGAGGCAGUGGAGAGCUAUUCUGAAUUAUGGGCAAGUCUUGUUGGGUAUUAUGUUAUUGUUGUAUAAGCAUAUUUUGUAUGUAAUGAAAUGUUGUCGAUGAACCGAAAUGGAUAUACCUUGUAAAAGUGUUAGAAGAUCUCUCUUAUUUGGAAUUUUGGAAUGUUAAGUCUAGUUUACGAUGAUAUGAACUUGUGGUAAAUGGUUGGAGUUCUGACUGUAUAAAUUACUUAGCUUGUGGAUU
rnacentral:lncRNA from 1 species